rnacentral:rRNA from 1 species
GAUGAACGCUAGCGAUAGGCUUAACACAUGCAAGUCGAGGGGCAGCAUGGUCUUAGCUUGCUAAGACUGAUGGCGACCGGCGCACGGGUGCGUAACGCGUAUGCAACUUGCCUCACAGAGGGGGAUAACCCGUCGAAAGACGGACUAAUACCGCGUACACUCCAUCUUGGGCAUCCAAGGUAGAGGAAAUGAAAUUCGCUGUGAGAUAGGCAUGCGUCCCAUUAGCUAGUUGGUGAGGUAACGGCUCACCAAGGCGACGAUGGGUAGGGGAACUGAGAGGUUGAACCCCCACACUGGUACUGGGACACGGACCAGACUACUACGGGAGGCAGCAGUGAGGAAUAUUGGUCAAUGGGCGAGAGCCUGAACCAGCCAAGUCGCGUGAAGGAUGACUGUCUUAUGGAUUGUAAACUUCUUUUAUACGGGAAUAACAAGAGUCACGUGUGACUCCCUGCAUGUACCGUAUGAAUAAGCAUCGGCUAACUCCGUG